GCCGGAGUAGCUCAGUCGGUAGAGCAACUGAUUCGUAAUCAGUAGGUCGGGGGUUCGAUUCCUCUCUCCGGCACCA
rnacentral:tRNA from 4 species